rnacentral:rRNA from 1 species
AGUCUCCUGGGGAAUCCAUCGGCUCAACGAUGGGCGUUCAGGAGAUACUGGCAACCCCUUUACCGGGAGAGGUGAGAGGUACUCCAGGGGUAGGAGUCUUUUCCUGUAAUCCUUGGGGGACCACCUGUGGCGAAGGCGUCUCACUAGAACGGCUCCGACAGUGAGGGACGAAAGCUGGGGGAGCAAACCGGAUUAGAUACCCGGGUAGUCCCAGCUGUAAACGAUGCGCGUUAGGUGUAUCGGUGACCACGAGUCACCGAGGUGCCGAAGAGAAAUCGUGAAACGUGCCGCCUGGGAAGUACGGUCGCAAGGCUUAAACUUAAAGGAAUUGGCGGGGGAGCACCACAACAGGUGGAGCCUGCGGUUUAAUCGGACUCAACGCCGGGAAGCUCACCGGAUAAGACAGCUGAAUGAUAGCCGGGUUGAAGACUCUGCUUGACUAGCUGAGAGGAGGUGCAUGGCCGUCGUCAGUUCGUACUGUGAAGCAUCCUGUUAAGUCAGGCAACGAGCGAGACCCACGCCAACAGUUGCCAGCAUGUCCUCCGGGAUGGUGGGGACACUGUUGGGACCGCCUCUGCUAAAGAGGAGGAAGGAAUGGGCAACGGUAGGUCAGCAUGCCCCGAAUUAUCCGGGCUACACGCGGGCUACAAUGGUCAGGACAAUGGGUAUCAACACCGAAAGGUGAAGGCAAUCUCCUAAACCUGUCCUUAGUUCGGAUUGUGGGCUGCAACUCGCCCACAUGAAGCUGGAAUCUGUAGUAAUCGCGUCUCAAAAUGGCGCGGUGAAUAUGUCCCUGCUCCUUCACACAUCCCCCGAUAAACACCCGAGUGAGGUCUGAUGAAGCUUCGGGAAUCACCCGGUUGAAUCUGGGGUUCUCAGGGGGGUUAAUCGUGACAAGGAAACC